UACGUAGGGGCAAGCGUUGUCCGGAUUUAUUGGGCGUAAAGAGCGUGUAGGCGGCUUGGUAGGUCCGCUGUGAAAACUCGAGGCUCAACCUCGAGAUGUCGGCGGAAACCACUUGGCUAGAGUCCGGAAGAGGAGAGUGGAAUUCCCGGUGUAGCGGUGAAAUGCGCAGAUAUCGGGAGGAACGACCGGUGGCGAAGGCGGGUCUCUGGGCAAUAACUGACGCUGAGGAGCGAAAGCGUGGGGAGCGAACAGG
rnacentral:rRNA from 1 species